GCAAGAUACCACGGGCGCACGGCGGAUGCCUUGGCACAGGGAGCCGAUGAAGGACGCGGCAAGCUGCGAUAAUCCCCGGCGAGGAGCACACAUCCUUCGACCCGGGGGUCUCCGAAUGGGCGAACCCAUGCACAGCAGUGUGCAUAUCCCCCCGCUGAACACAUAGGCGGGGGGAGGACAACCCGGGGAACUGAAACAUCUAAGUACCCGGAGGAGAGGAAAUCAAUCUCGAGACUCCCCGAGUAGCGGCGAGCGAAAGGGGACCGAUGGCCAAACCGUCGAGCGGGCAUACCCGGCAGGGGUUCCGCCGACGGGGUUGCAGGGCCGCGCAUCCGGGGGCUGCCGCCCCCGGGCGCAGGUCCGGCUGGGGAGCGGAACGGCAUGGGAGGGCCGGCCGCAGCGGGUGACAGCCCCGUACGCGAACCCAGACCGGACGGCGCGACGCGGUCCCUGAGUAGGGCCGGGCACGUGAAACCCGGUCCGAACCUGGGUGGACCACCAUCCAAGCCUGAGUACUACCCUGUGACCGAUAGCGCACCAGUACCGUGAGGGAAAGGUGAAAAGCACCCCGGGAGGGGAGUGAAACAGUACCUGAAACCGUGCGCCCACGAGCAGUCGGAGCAACUUUUAGUUGUGACGGCGUGCCUUUUGUAGAAUGAGCCAGCGAGUCGCUGGCGCGGGGCGAGGUUAACCGAAAGGGAGCCGGAGCGAAAGCGAGCCUUAACAGGGCGACUUGAGUCCCGCGCCGCGGACGCGAAGCCGGGUGAGCUAUCCGUGGGCAGGCUGAAGCGGGGGUAAGACCCCGUGGAGGGCCGAACGCACGUCGGUUGAAAACGGCGGCGAUGACCUGCGGAUAGGGGUGAAAGGCCAAUCAAACCCGGAGAUAUCUCGUUCUCCCCGAAAUAGCUUUAGGGCUAGCGUCGCGCGUUCACCGCCGGAGGUAGAGCACCGGAUGGACGAGGGGGCUUCGCCGCCUACCGAAUCCAACCGAACUCCGAAUGCCGGCGGCCCAGAGCGCGGCAGUCAGAGCAUGUGGGCUAAGCUGUGUGCUCGAGAGGGAAACAGCCCGGACCGCCCGCUAAGGUCCCCAAGUUCCAGCCGAGUGGCAAAGGAUGUGCGUCCGCCCAGACAACCAGGAUGUUGGCUUAGAAGCAGCCAUCCAUUCAAAGAGUGCGUAACAGCUCACUGGUCGAGUGGACAUGCGCCGACAAUACACGGGGCUAAGCUGGACACCGAAGCGGCGGGAUUUUGAUUUACAGAAUCGGUAGGGGAGCUUCCCAUGGGCGGAGAAGCCGGAGGGCGACCGACGGUGGAGCGCAUGGGAGUGAGAAUGCUGGCAUGAGUAGCGAGAGACGAGAGAGUAACUCGUCCGCCGUGAACCCGAGGUUUCCUGGGCAAGGCUAAUCCUCCCAGGGUCAGUCGGGGGCUAAGGCGAGGCCGGAAGGCGUAGCCGACGCGCAGCAGGCAGACAUUCCUGCACCGCGCACGCGGCGCUACGACCGACGGGGCGACGGAUGGGGGUGGCUCGGCGGGGUUCUGGACGUCCCCGUGAUGGAGCGCGGCCCGCGGACCAGGGAAAUCCGGUCCGCAUCAAGGGCGAGGCUCCGGACGAAGCGAUUGAGCGAAGCGAGUGAGCCCGAGGUCCCUAGAAAAACCCCUAGGCAGGCGCGUGCGCGCCCGUACCGCAAACCGACACAGGUGGGUGGGUAGAACAUACCGAGGCGAUCGGGUCAACCAUGGUCAAGGAACUCGGCACAAUGGCCCCGUAACUUCGGGAGAAGGGGUGCCCGCGCGUACGUGAACCGGCUCGCCCGGGGAGCGGAGGCGGGCCGCAGUGGAGAGGCCCAAGCGACUGUUUACCAAAAACACAGGACUCUGCAGAAGCCGCAAGGCGACGUAUAGGGUCUGACGCCUGCCCGGUGCCGGAAGGUCACGCGGAGGAGUUAGCCGCAAGGCGAAGCCCCGAAGCCAAGCCCCGGUAAACGGCGGCCGUAACUAUAACGGUCCUAAGGUAGCGAAAUUCCUUGUCGGGUAAGUUCCGACCUGCACGAAUGGUG
rnacentral:rRNA from 1 species